UUCAGUUGCUGAUAGCUGCAAAGUUUCCUUGCUGCCUGAUUGCAAGGGAAGUUAUCUUUACCAGCGUUUCUUAAGUUGCCAUCCUCUUCUAAUUUCUGUUCUCUGUCCAUCAAUAAAACAUGAGCCAUUUAUCUGAAAAAAGAAAGAAGUGUUACACAAUUGUAUCUAAACUGUCGUGUGGGAAUACUUAUCUGCAGUAGCUCACCUCCCAGAAUGGUCCUUUGCCUCCUUUCUCAUUCAUCUUGCAAGCCUUAUGAGCGCGGGAGAUCCCUUCCAUCUACUCCGUGCAGCUGUAGAUAUAGCAAGCUUUCAGAAGCCUCUGAAAAAUUCUCCAUACAGAAGAUGUUGACAAGGAUCUGCACUGCAUAGAGUAUGUGUAAACAGUGAUGCAAACAGCUGUUGUUACUAGAUAUGGUGAAUUCACAUAAAGAAGCUGGACAUUUGCAAUUUUUUCUAUUCAUAGAGAUUUCCAAUCUGGGAAACAUGUAGGACUGUGGAAUUGUGGCUGAUACUUCUCUGGGAUUCACUUUGACAUAUCACAAGAUACAAAGCAGCUAUUUGCUAAAAACGUAUUUGUUUGUAAUUAUUGCAGAAAUCAUGCAUGAAUUCUGUGUGUGAGGGAUGAUGUUUUUUAAAACUGGAUGCAGUGCAGGACUUCACACACUAUUUUGCAUGCAUAAGUAUUCCCAUUAAACUGAAACAUUCCUGUCUGAGUGAAACAAGUGCUUAACUAUUUGCUGUUGGUGAUCUUAGUUUCUAACAUAUAGAGAUACUGAAAAGUAUCAAAAAGGCAGUGGGAACUAACCUAGCUUCUUUGGUUUCUGAAAACCAGCUGUUUUGCUGAACAGUCCCAUCUUGGUUCCCAGGGUUAAGAAUGACCUUUGGGGCACAUUUUUGUUAACAUGCAUGGUGAGAUUAUCUAUUAUAUGCCAUAUAAAACCAUAUUUUUACGAAGUGUGGACUGAAGUGUUCCACAAUGGGUGACUCUCACUUUUGAAAGCUUUCAAUGCAAAGAAGGCAAUCACAGAUCAAGUAAAAGAGAUAAAUAAUUAUUUUGCCUGCAGACCAUAACUAUUAUCUUGCUUUCAAUAAAAAUUUG